rnacentral:rRNA from 1 species
UACAGAGGUCUCAAGCGUUGUUCGGAUUCAUUGGGCGUAAAGGGUGCGCAGGCGGCGCGGUAAGUCGGGUGUGAAAUCUCGGGGCUUAACUCCGAAACUGCAUUCGAUACUGCCGUGCUUGAGGACUGGAGAGGAGACUGGAAUUUACGGUGUAGCGGUGAAAUGCGUAGAUAUCGUAAGGAAGACCAGUGGCGAAGGCGGGUCUCUGGACAGUUCCUGACGCUGAGGCACGAGGGUCAGGGGAGCAAACGGG